rnacentral:rRNA from 1 species
UUCAUUAAUCAGGAACGAAAGUUAGGGGAUCGAAGACGAUCAGAUACCGUCGUAGUCUUAACCAUAAACUAUGCCGAUUAGGGAUCGGACGGCGUUAUUUUUUGACCCGUUCGGCACCUUACGAUAAAUCAAAAUGUUUGGGCUCCUGGGGGAGUAUGGUCGCAAGGCUGAAACAUAAAGAAAUUGACGGAAGGGCACCACCAGGGGUGGAGCCUGCGGCUUAAUUUGACUCAACACGGGGAAACUCACCAGGUCCAGACACGAUGAGGAUUGACAGAUUGAGAGCUCUUUCUUGAUUUCGUGGGUGGUGGUGCAUGGCCGUUCUUAGUUGGUGGAGUGAUUUGUCUGCUUAAUUGCGAUAACGAACGAGACCUUAACCUGCUAAAUAGCCCGUAUUGCUUUGGCAGUACGCUGGCUUCUUAGAGGGACUAUCGGCUCAAGCCGAUGGAAGUUUGAGGCAAUAACAGGU